rnacentral:misc_RNA from 1 species
GUUCAAGUGGUUGUUUGUAACUUUCGUGUAACUUUGGUUAGGUUACGAUAGAGGAGAAACAGUGCUUCUCCUCUACCUCACUAGUCGCGCGAAUCUUCCGAAGAAGACCACCACUAGUCCUGCGCUGCAGAGAGCACUAACUCCUUGCGGAGUUAGCGACUCCAGCUCGAGCCUGAGCUCGCGCUCGUUGUUCCUCGACUAUCGUCGGGUCAACAGGUAAUGAUCCUUCCGCAGGUUCACCUACGGAAA